rnacentral:lncRNA from 1 species
CGCCGCUCGACCCCAACGUGUUCUUCUUCCCCUUAAACGUCCCCGUCUUCUUCGGUUUCUUGACGGCGACGGGCGAAGGCGACGCGGCGGCGGCGGCGGCGGCGGCGGCGACCGGGACGACGCCGCCGACGCCGACCGCGGUCGGGGACCCGCCGAGUCUGUGACCGACUUCCUUCACGGCGGCGGCGCGCUUUCGCUUGGGGGUCAUCGCCGCGCCCGCGCCCGCGCCCGCGUCCGCGCCUCCGACGCCGUCGUUCACGACGUAGAGCGUCGCGGACACGACGUCCAGAUUCGUCACCCCGAGCGCCGCGAUCGCGACGUCGUCGUCAUCCUCCGAGAGCGUCCUCACGUUGUGGUGUCCGACGGAGAGAGAAAACACGCGGUACUUUGCAUCCUCCGCGAUAAAGGACGACUCCGCGACGUGCCUGAGCUCCGACGCCGUCGUGGACGCGCCGUCGGGGAGGAGCAGCGUCUGCGGCGGGGGAGGCGGAGGUCCGGAUCCGGGCGCGGUGGGCGCGGGCGCUUCCGCGGCAGCGAGGGAGGCGUGGAUGCGGACCGCGCGGACGCGAACCUUCCACUGCUUUCGUUGGCCGCCGCCGCCGCCGCCGCCGCCGCCGCCGCCGCCACUCGGUGGCGGAGCUUCGUAUUUAGACGAUUCAGGCGCGCGAUCGUCACCGCUGACCCCUGCCUUCGCGGGUCCGCUCGCGCCGCCCGCGGAAACGGACGCGGGAGUGAUUUCACCCCCUCCGCCGCCGCCGCCGCCGCCGUCGCCGCCGCCGCUGUCGC